AGGAGGUCUGCCAGCUAAUCUGGAUCGUGAUGAACAACGGGACCCAGCUGUGGUGGAGAAAACAUCUCCACAUUGACCUCCUGAACCCAGAGGGCUCGGUGGCUGUUUCCACUAUUGAACUGGAGGUCACAGGGGUUCAGGUCAGUCAAGCACCUAAUGUUCACAAGCCGACAAACGCAACUUCAGGGUUUUCAGCUUUACACUCAGACUGUGUGUCAGUUAGUUAUGAAUGAUGAGUUCUGUUUUGUCCUCCCUAGCUUCUAGGUGGUAGAAAGACAAGCCACGUCAUGUCCCACCAUAUAAAUACAUGGAAGGAGUUCAUGUACUUUGAGGAAGGCCAGGAGGUGGACGUGAUGACCACCUUUGAGGGUUUUGUCGAGGCAGGGGCUGAGACUCAGGCAACAAGUUGGUCAUGCUCCAACACCGAGUCCACCUUCACUGACCCUCCUCCUCGUUCUCCUCACGCCUCACCUCCUUCACC